CCUACGGGAGGCAGCAGUGAGGAAUAUUGGUCAAUGGGCGUAAGCCUGAACCAGCCAAGCCGCGUGAGGGAUGAAGGUCCUAUGGAUCGUAAACCUCUUUUAUAAGGGAAUAAAGUGCGGGACGUGUCCCGUUCUGCAUGUAUCCUAUGAAUAAGGAUCGGCUAACUCCGUGCCAGCAGCCGCGGUAAUACGGAGGAUCCGAGCGUUAUCCGGAUUUAUUGGGUUUAAAGGGUGCGUAGGCGGCCUUUUAAGUCAGCGGUGAAAGUUUGUGGCUCAACCCCAGAAUUGCCGUUGAAACUGGGAGACUUGAGUAUGUGUGAGGCACGCGGAAUGCGUGGUGUAGCGGUGAAAUGCUUAGAUAUCGCGCAGAACCCCGAUUGCGAAGGCAGCGUGCCGGGCCAAGACUGACGCUGAUGCACGAAAGCGUGGGGAUCGAACAGGAUUAGAUACCCGAGUAGUC
rnacentral:rRNA from 1 species